CUCACUGGUAGACAAAGGGUGAGGAGGUGACUGAAACUGAAACAGUGGAAGGACCCUUCACCAAAACCUGGAGCUUCAGAAGAAUGGCAGGGCUGAAAAUGAUUAGUGUUAAUUCAUUCCAGUUGUGGUACCCUACCCAUAAGCUGACUGAAGGAGCCUGAACUUCCAUGUGCUGUCUUCCAUAUAAUGUGAUCUGAGGUGAAGAGCAUGGUCCCUGGAGUUGAACUGCCUGAAGUAAAUCCCAAAAUAGAAAAAUAAAAAUAAAAC
rnacentral:lncRNA from 1 species